UGGGGAAUUUUGGACAAUGGGGGCAACCCUGAUCCAGCAAUGCCGCGUGUGUGAAGAAGGCCUUCGGGUUGUAAAGCACUUUUGUCCGGAAAGAAAUCGCCCUGGCUAAUAUCCGGGGUGGAUGACGGUACUGGAAGAAUAAGCACCGGCUAACUACGUGCCAGCAGCCGCGGUAAUACGUAGGGUGCGAGCGUUAAUCGGAAUUACUGGGCGUAAAGCGUGCGCAGGCGGUUGUGCAAGACAGAUGUGAAAUCCCCGGGGCUUAACCUGGGAAUGGCAUUUGUGACUGCACGGCUAGAGUGUGUCAGAGGGGGGUAGAAUUCCACGUGUAGCAGUGAAAUGCGUAGAUAUGUGGAGGAACACCGAUGGCGAAGGCAGCCCCCUGGGAUAACACUGACGCUCAUGCACGAAAGCGUGGGGAGCAAACAGGAUUAGAUACCCUGGUAGUCCACGCCCUAAAGNGAUGUCAACUAGUUGUCGGGUCUUAAUUGACUUGGUAAA
rnacentral:rRNA from 1 species